rnacentral:rRNA from 1 species
AUUGAACGCUGGCGGCAGGCUUCACACAUGCAAGUCGAGCGAGCGGCGGACGGGUGAGUAAUGUCUGGGAAACUGCCUGAUGGAGGGGGAUAACUACUGGAAACGGUAGCUAAUACCGCAUACCAUCAGAUGUGCCAAGAUGGGAUUCGCUAGUAGGUUGUGUAAUGGGUCACCGUGGCGACGAUCCCUAGCUGGUUUGAGAGGAUGACCAGCCACAAUGGAACUGAGACACGGUCCAGAGGCCGCCGGUAGGCAGCAGUGGGGAAUAUUGCACAAUGGGCGCAAGCCUGAUGCAGCCAUGCCGCUUGUGUGAAGAAGGCCUUCGGGUUGUAAAGCACUUUCAUCGAGGAGGCGUUACUCGGAGUAUAAGCACCGGCUAACUCCGUGCCAGCAGCCGCGGUAAUAC